rnacentral:rRNA from 1 species
GUGGGGAAUAUUGGACAAUGGGCGAAAGCCUGAUCCAGCCAUGCCGCGUGUGUGAAGAAGGUCUUCGGAUUGUAAAGCACUUUAAGUUGGGAGGAAGGGCAGUAAGUUAAUACCUUGCUGUUUUGACGUUACCGACAGAAUAAGCACCGGCUAACUUCGUGCCAGCAGCCGCGGUAAUACGAAGGGUGCAAGCGUUAAUCGGAAUUACUGGGCGUAAAGCGCGCGUAGGUGGUUUUGUAAGUUGGAGGUGAAAUCCCCGGGCUCAACCUGGGAACUGCCUCCAAAACUGCAUGACUAGAGUACGGGAGAGGGUAGUGGAAUUUCCUGUGUAGCGGUGAAAUGCGUAGAUAUAGGAAGGAACACCAGUGGCGAAGGCGACUACCUGGACUGAUACUGACACUGAGGUGCGAAAGCGUGGGGAGCAAACAGGAUUAGAAACCCGGGUAGUCC